UACGAAGGGGGCUAGCGUUGCUCGGAAUUACUGGGCGUAAAGGGCGCGUAGGCGGCACUGUUAGUCAGGCGUGAAAGUCCUGGGCUCAACCUGGGAACUGCGCUUGAUACGGCAGAGCUAGAGGAUGGAAGAGGCUCGCGGAAUUCCCAGUGUAGAGGUGAAAUGCGUAGAGAUCGGGAGGAACACCCUGUGGCGGAAGGCGGCCCCCUGGGCCGGCCCUGACACUGAGACGCGAAGGCGUGGGGAGCGAACGGG
rnacentral:rRNA from 1 species